CCUACGGGAGGCAGCAGUGGGGAAUAUUGGACAAUGGGCGCAAGCCUGAUCCAGCAAUGCCGCGUGAGUGAUGAAGGCCUUAGGGUCGUAAGGCUCUUUUACCAGGGAUGAUAAUGACAGUACCUGGAGAAUAAGCUCCGGCUAACUCCGUGCCAGCAGCCGCGGUAAUACGGAGGGAGCUAGCGUUGUUCGGAAUUACUGGGCGUAAAGCGUACGUAGGCGGUUAUUCAAGUCAGAGGUGAAAGCCCGGGGCUCAACCCCGGAACGGCCUUUGAAACUAGGUAGCUAGAAUCUUGGAGAGGUCAGUGGAAUUCCGAGUGUAGAGGUGAAAUUCGUAGAUAUUCGGAAGAACACCAGUGGCGAAGGCGACUGACUGGACAAGUAUUGACGCUGAGGUACGAAAGCGUGGGGAGCAAACAGGAUUAGAUACCCUGGUAGUCCACGCCGUAAACGAUGAUAACUAGCUGUUCGGGCACUUGGUGCUUGAGUGGCGCAGCUAACGCAUUAAGUUAUCCGCCUGGGGAGUACGGUCGCAAGAUUAAAACUCAAAUGAAUUGACGG
rnacentral:rRNA from 1 species